UACGUAGGGGGCAAGCGUUGUCCGGAAUCAUUGGGCGUAAAGAGCGUGUAGGCGGUUCGGUAAGUCGGCUGUGAAAGUCCAGGGCUCAACCCUGGGAUGCCGGUCGAUACUGUCGGACUAGAGUACAGAAGGGGCAACUGGAAUUCUCGGUGUAGCGGUGAAAUGCGUAGAUAUCGAGAGGAACACCUGCGGCGAAGGCGGGUUGCUGGGCUGAUACUGACGCUGAGGCGCGAAAGCCAGGGGAGCGAACGGG
rnacentral:rRNA from 1 species